AAUUAAUAAGCUUUUAAAAGCAUUUGUUUUGAAAACUUAAGAAAGAAGGGAUAUCUUCUAUUAAUUU
rnacentral:tRNA from 1 species